GCGUGGCUUCUACAGAGCUACCCACAAGGAUGUUGAUGGUAACAUCAGAAAUGCGGCUGCGACCCAGUUCCAGCCCACCGACGCCCGCAAAGCCUUCCCUUGCUUCGACGAGCCCGCACUGAAGGCAACCUUUGAAAUUCACCUCGCAAGGGAAUCUUGGAUGACGACCCUCUCCAACAUGCCCAUUGCCGAAACGGUACCUGUUGAAGGACAGGAGGGAUGGAUGUGGGAUCGUUACGAGAAGAGUGUCCCUAUGUCCACUUACCUGGUUGCCUUCGUUGUGUCCGACUACGUUCAUAUCAACUCGACCGAGAAUGACCGUGUAGAUU